CGCGUAGGCGGCAUGACAAGUCACUUGUGAAAUCUCCGGGCUUAACUCGGAACGGCCAAGUGAUACUGUCACGCUAGAGUGCGGAAGGGGCAAUCAGAAUUCUUGGUGUAGCGGUGAAAUGCGUAGAUAUCAAGAGGAAUACCUGAGGUGAAGACGGGUUGCUAGGCCGACACUGACGCUGACAGCGCGAAAGCCAGGGGAGCAAACG
rnacentral:rRNA from 1 species